ACGCUGUGGUUCUAACCUCCAGCUGAACCCAGAGGACGUUACCUCUCAGGGACAAUCAGGGGGGUCCCUCCGGUCUCAGGUGAGAUCCAGUGAUCCUGGUGGAAGAGGAAGAGGAAGAGGAGGAGGAGGACCAGGAUGAAGAUACCAGCGACAGAACAACGUAGAUGCCCUCUGUGACCCUGAGCUCCUUUAGGACCCUGAACGUUUAAUUUACUUUAAAGACUUUCACUGCAGUGAUAUAUAUAUAUAUAUAAAUACACUAUAUAAUACAUUUAUUUAAGACUAUGUAUACACACACUACUACAAGCUGCAGCAGUAGUUGAGGCUGAAUGUAGUUAAGUAAUUUAUACUCAUUAUUGUGUUGCUGUUGUAGUUUGAUAAACUAUUUAUAUAAAGUUAUGUCUAAUCCACUGGUUCCCAGUCUUGGGCCCAGUUCUCUCCCAAGAGCCAACAUGUAAAUAAGAGGAGUCGUGAAAUGAUUGAAGAAGAAACAGUAAAUCUGUAAAUAUUCAAAUCUGGAACGUGACGACAACACAGACGUCAAUAUUCAAAGUGUGAUAAGAUUUUAUUUGAUAAGAUUUUACUGUUUUAUAAUUUGGAUGAUUGACAUGUGACCGUCUGUGCAGUUUCCAACACAUCUGUUGUCCCACAUAGAGAAGACUGGAAUCUAUACAGUCCUGUGGGAAUUAACUAAAUACCAGAGAAGGGAGUGUGUGAGUCUGUGUGUGUGUCUGUGUUGUGUCUGUCAGUGUGUGUGUCUGUGUGUGUGGGUCCCUCUCCCUGGCAACAUGUGAAUGGGAUCAGCGACGGACCAAUAGAAUGUCAGAGGAGGAAGUUUCACGUCAAUGGGUUUUUGUCACUGGGGUCGACUCUGCUAAACUUAGACGUGAGAAACGUCUGUGACUCUUCACUCAGAAACAUAUCGAUGAAAACACCACGAUGAAGAUGUUUGAAAGCUUCAAUAAAAAACUUUUAUUCUUCUCAUUCUCGUUUUGUUUAUUGGAACAAUGACUAAUAUUAGAUAAAGAUCGAGAUCACACUCGCUUAUCGUGGACCUGUAGCUAGUUAGCUUAGCAUAAAGACUGGAAACGGGAGGUGUUGUUAUCUUGUUAAUUGUUGAGCUUCAGACACGUUGUUGGGCAGAUUUUGUUUUUCUACGCAAAGCAGCCGAAGUUUGUCACAAAAUUAGCUCGUUUGUCACGAGGUGGAAAAUAGAAUUUGCUGUAGUAAAGUUGGUAAAUCCAGCUACAAAAAAAAACUAAUUUGGCAAAACUGCCAAUUGGGAAACUUUACACAGUCCAACAUUCAAACUUAUAGUUCAGCUCUGCUGUUGUGGGUCAGUUCAAAUACUACAAGUAAAAGUACGUACAAAAGUAAGUAUCAAAAUAAAAAAGCUCAUUAUGCAGUAUAGGCUUCGAUAGUUUUUAUUAUAAGCAACUAUUACUGAAGUAUAUGUAAACAGUACUUUAGAGUCAUAUCUAGUGGGUGUUGUAUUCAGAUGUUUUAUGUUUUAAUAUACCUUUAAUCUGAAAAGUGACAUAAAAGUACAACAUUAGAGCAGAAGUGUCCUUUAGUGGACGUUUCUUUUAGUGGACAAAGCUCCUCUGGUGUUUCCACAUCAGUAACCGUCCUGCUGAUCUUCCACAAUGAGGCCGAACACCGAGGACGAGCAUCUGACCUCAUUUCGCUGAGGCACCAUGUGUCGUCCAUUGUUUUCCACUGAGGCAGAACAGCCUCACGUCUGUUUCCAGCCACCAGAGGGCAGAGGAGGAAACAAGGCCCCCCCCCCCAUCGGCAGAGGAGUCGACAGAGAAGUGGGACAUUCACCACCUGAACCCCAGUACCCCCAACCCCACUGUCGUGUUGACUCUGGUUGUCAUAACAACAUUCUGAUGACGAGGCCGAGGGAGGCGGGGGAGGGGGUAAGAGGAUACAGGAGGGAAAGGUCACAGGAAGUGUGUGGGCGACUGAUUAAACUUCAAACAUGACCUCAGUGAAUUGAAUUAUCACCUCCAGCAAACUGAUAUUUUCAACAACUUUAUUUCAGUCUCUUUAACCCCCCCCCCCCUCAAAUUAAAGUUCUUUAAAAGGCAUCAAAACACAACAAUCAACCAGGACACGUUUCUAAAAGCAGCAGUGACAGUGAGCACCGGACGUUUAGAGAAUACACUUUUAGGAAGUUACAUUUUGAAAAGAACAUUUUUGAUAAAAUCAUCAUCACCUCACGCCACGUUGAGUGAUCACAGAUUGAAGAGGAGCAGACUUAGUGUUAGUGAACCUUCAUCGGUUUCUCUGAAAGCUAUGAAACAAAAAGACUCUACGAUGAAGAACUGUUGCAUCGAGGACAAAUAAUCUGGUGUUUGCCUCUUUUCUACUUUAUCCAAUUUUCUUUUAACAGAUUAAAACUAAUCCAGGAAACCUGAUUCUACCCUGAACAGUGUCUGCAGGUUUUUCCCUUCAGGCUCCGUCCGCUGCCAACAACCAUCACAUCUCUUCUCUGGCAGCCGGACGCUCUCAGAACAACAUCUUCACCAACACAAAUCAAAGUUUGGGUGGAAAACAGGUUUUGAACUGGAUUCUUUCAUCUCCGCGAGGAAACGAUGCCCUUGUGUGUUGUUCAGAAGCUGGAAACCAGCAGCAUCGUCUCAGAGUCUUUGUUUUUCGUUCUGUGCCGACGGAGCAAACCCUGAAUUUGUUUCCCCGGGACACUGAGAUGUACUUGGCUCUUAUUGUUGUUGUUUUCUUGACGAUGGUCUGAACGUCCCUCUGAUACCGAGCAGCUCUUAUGACGUGAGAGAAGGCACAAGCUCUUUGUUCCGUCUGUCGAUCUUUUCCAAGAGUACGAUGUUUAACUAUUUAUAUAUACACCAAUGUUUUCAUGACAGCUGGGUCUUUAAAUCACAGGUAAAAUAAGGAUUAAAUAAAAUCGACACACAUCAAAUUCACAGAUGCAAGACAAACUUAAUUGACCUCUAAAUGUAGAUUAUACUCGACGUUCUCGUCGUGAACCAACAAACACAGAAAAGCUGCUUCCUGAACGAGUGGUCGACUCGUUUUCUCAAGUCUGACUCAGCAUUUUAUCCAGAAUAAGGCAGAAAGUACAUUCACGUCUGUUUUUAUAGAAGAAUAAAAACAGACCUGGACAAAGAGUCCAAAGAGAAACGAAGACAGAGGAGACGCAGCCGCUGACGCUCUGCACGUUGCUUAUGAUUAAUAAUCCCAUGAUAAGAUGAAUCUCGUUCCUGUGUCUCUGAACUGGUUCAUUAUUCAGCUGCUGAGGCUCCGAGUUUCCAGCCUCUGAUAGUUUCUACUCAGCAGAAAAACUGUAUUUAUUUGCCAAAGGUUUAAUUUAAUUCUCUAGACAAUUUCGGCCGAGAAAAACUUCCAGGAAAUGAUCUGAAAAAUACAGGACGUGUGAAUCAAAGCUUUAACUGCUUGUUAAUAAACUUCGAACCUGUUUGUAGAUAUUCAUAUUGUUUUUAAGGUCAUUAGGACUCGAGGUAAUCUGUCUAUAUGGAUCUAUGUGUUUUUGAAUCAAUGAGAAAAGGUUUAAAUUGGUCUCAUGUUCACAUACUAACUCUUCUCUCUGUAAAUUCUGAUUUGUGAAUUAAAACAUGCUUUCUUACAUCUUUACUAA